ACGAACGCUGGCGGCGCGCCUAACACAUGCAAGUCGAACGAGCAAGAGAGAGCUUGCUUUCUCGAGCGAGUGGCGAACGGGUGAGUAACGCGUGAGGAACCUGCCUCAAAGAGGGGGACAACAGUUGGAAACGACUGCUAAUACCGCAUAAGCCCACGGGUCGGCAUCGACCAGAGGGAAAAGGAGCAAUCCGCUUUGAGAUGGCCUCGCGUCCGAUUAGCUAGUUGGUGAGGUAACGGCCCACCAAGGCGACGAUCGGUAGCCGGACUGAGAGGUUGAACGGCCACAUUGGGACUGAGACACGGCCCAGACUCCUACGGGAGGCAGCAGUGGGGAAUAUUGCACAAUGGGGGAAACCCUGAUGCAGCGACGCCGCGUGGAGGAAGAAGGUCUUCGGAUUGUAAACUCCUGUUGUUGAGGAAGAUAAUGACGGUACUCAACAAGGAAGUGACGGCUAACUACGUGCCAGCAGCCGCGGUAAAACGUAGGUCACAAGCGUUGUCCGGAAUUACUGGGUGUAAAGGGAGCGCAGGCGGGAAGACAAGUUGGAAGUGAAAUCCAUGGGCUCAACCCAUGAACUGCUUUCAAAACUGUUUUUCUUGAGUAGUGCAGAGGUAGGCGGAAUUCCCGGUGUAGCGGUGGAAUGCGUAGAUAUCGGGAGGAACACCAGUGGCGAAGGCGGCCUACUGGGCACCAACUGACGCUGAGGCUCGAAAGUGUGGGUAGCAAACAGGAUUAGAUACCCUGGUAGUCCACACCGUAAACGGUGAUUACUAGGUGUUGGAGGAUUGACCCCUUCAGUGCCGCAGUUAACACAAUAAGUAAUCCACCUGGGGAGUACGACCGCAAGGUUGAAACUCAAAGGAAUUGACGGGGGCCCGCACAAGCAGUGGAGUAUGUGGUUUAAUUCGACGCAACGCGAAGAACCUUACCAAGUCUUGACAUCCUGUGACAGACGUAGAAAUACGUUCUUCCUUCGGGACACAGAGACAGGUGGUGCAUGGUUGUCGUCAGCUCGUGUCGUGAGAUGUUGGGUUAAGUCCCGCAACGAGCGCAACCCUUAUCCUUUGUUGCCAGCGGUCCGGCCGGGAACUCAAAGGAGACUGCCAGUGAUAAACUGGAGGAAGGUGGGGAUGACGUCAAAUCAUCAUGCCCUUUAUGACUUGGGCUACACACGUACUACAAUGGCGUUAAACAAAGAGAAGCAAGACCGCGAGGUGGAGCAAAACUCAGAAACAACGUCCCAGUUCGGACUGCAGGCUGCAACUCGCCUGCACGAAGUCGGAAUUGCUAGUAAUCGUGGAUCAGCAUGCCACGGUGAAUACGUUCCCGGGCCUUGUACACACCGCCCGUCACACCAUGGGAGUGGGUUGCAAAAGAAGUAGGUAGCUUAACCUUCGGGAGGGCGCUUACCACUUUGUGAUUCAUGACUGGGGUG
rnacentral:rRNA from 1 species